rnacentral:rRNA from 1 species
UACGUAGGGUGCGAGCGUUGUCCGGAAUUAUUGGGCGUAAAGGGCUCGUAGGCGGUUUGUCACGUCAGGAGUGAAAACUCGGGGCUCAACCCCGAGCCUGCUUCUGAUACGGGCAGACUAGAGGUAUGCAGGGGAGAACGGAAUUCCUGGUGUAGCGGUGAAAUGCGCAGAUAUCAGGAGGAACACCGGUGGCGAAGGCGGCGACCUGGGUCGACACUGACGCUGAGGCGCGAAAGCGUGGGGAGCAAACAGG